rnacentral:rRNA from 1 species
AAUCAACGCUGGCGGCGUGCCUAACACGUGCAAGUCGCACGAGAAAGGGUCUUCGGAUCUGAGUAAAGUGGCGCACGGGUGAGUAACACGUGAAUUAUCUACCCUCGAGUGGGGAAUAACUUCGGGAAACCGAGGCUAAUACCGCAUAAUAUCUACGGAUCAAAGCAGUAAUGCGCUUGAAGAGGAGUUCGCGGCAGAUUAGUUAGUUGGCGGGGUAAUGGCCCACCAAGACGAUGAUCUGUAUCCGGCCUGAGAGGGCGCACGGACACACUGGAACUGAAACACGGUCCAGACUCCUACGGGAGGCAGCAGUGGGGAAUUUUGCGCAAUGGGGGAAACCCUGACGCAGCAACGCCGCGUGGAGGAUGAAGUCUCUUGGGACGUAAACUCCUUUCGAUAGGGAAGAUUAUGACGGUACCUAUAGAAGAAGCCCCGGCUAACUUCGUGCCAGCCGCCGCCGUAA